UACAGAGGUCUCAAGCGUUGUCCGGAUUCAUUGGGCGUAAAGGGUGUGUAGGUGGCGCGCUAAGUCGGGUGUGAAAUUUCGGAGCUUAACUCCGAAACUGCAUUCGAUACUGGCGUGCUUGAGGACUGGAGAGGAGACUGGAAUUCAUGGUGUAGCAGUGAAAUGCGUAGAGAUCAUGAGGAAGACCAGUGGCGAAGGCGGGUCUCUGGGCUGAGAUUGACGCUCAGGCACGAAAGCGUGGGGAGCAAACAGG
rnacentral:rRNA from 1 species